rnacentral:rRNA from 1 species
GCGGCACGCCUAAUACAUGCAAGUCGAACGCAGUAGCAAUACUGAGUGGCAGACGGGUGAGUAUAAUGUGGGAAUCUGCCUUUUGGUUUGGAAUAACUCGGGGAAACCUGAGCUAAUACCGGAUAAGCCCUUACGGGGAAAGAUUUAUCGCCGAAAGAUGAGCCCGCACUUGAUUAGCUUGUUGGUGAGGUAAAAGCUCACCAAGGCAACGAUCAAUAGCUGUUCUUAGAGGAAGACCAGCCACAUUGGGACUGAGACACGGCCCAGACUCCUACGGGAGGCAGCAGUAGGGAAUCUUGCACAAUGGGGGAAACCCUGAUGCAGCGAUGCCGCGUGAGUGAAGAAGGCCUUUGGGUUGUAAAACUCUUUCGUCGGGGAAGAAAAUGACUGUACCCGAAUAAGAAGGUCCGGCUAACUUCG